rnacentral:rRNA from 1 species
GAUGAACGCUAGCGGUAGGCAUAACACAUGCAAGUCGAGGGGCGGCAUAUUGGGUAGCAAUACUUGAUGAUGGCGACCGGCGGAUGGGUGAGUAACGCGUAUGCAACCUACCUUGUACAGGGGGAUAGACACUGGAAACGGUGCGUAAUAUCCCGUAAUGUUGUUUGGAGGCAUCUCUAAAUAAAGAAAGGAAGAGAUUUGGUAUAAGAUGGGCAUGCGUAGGAUUAGCUAGAUGGUGAGGUAACGGCUCACCAUGGCGACGAUCCUUAGGGGUUCUGAGAGGGAGGUCCCCCACAUUGGAACUGAGACACGGUCCAGACUCCUACGGGAGCAGCAGUGAGGAAUAUUGGUCAAUGGUCGAGAGACUGAACCAGCCAAGUAGCGUGAAGGAUGACUGCCCUACGGGUUGCAAACUUCUUUUGUUGGGAAUAAAUGAUACUACGUGUAGUUAUUUGCAUGUACCUUACGAAUAAGCAUCGGCUAAUU